GAAUGUAUAUCGACUCUGUCGAAUAAAGUUCUAGUUAAGUUAUGAUAAUGACAUUUCUUAACUAUGUGUCUUGACCAAAUCACGUGCCAGCAGUCGCGGUAAUACGUGGAAGACUAGUGUUAUUCAUCUUUAACAGGUUUAAAGGGUACCUAGACGGUAAAUCAAGCCCCGAAAGGGUACUAAUUUACUAGAGUUUAAUAAGAGAGGGGGAGUACUGAUGAGUGGAGAGAUGAAAUUUUAUGAUACCAUUAGGAACAGACAAAGGCGAAAGCGACCUUUUACAUAAAAACUGACGUUGAGGGACGAAGGCUUUAGUCGUGAACAGGAUUAGAUACCCAAGUAAUUAAAGCAGACAAUGAUGAAUGUCAUAGAUUAGUGAGUCGUAUUAAUCUAUAAAUGAAAGUGUAAGCAUUCCACCUCAAGAGUAAUGUGGCAACGCAGAAACUGAAAUCAUUAGACCGUUUCUGAAACCAGUAGUGAAGUAUGUUGUUUAAUUAGAUAAUCCGCAAAAGACCUCACCACAAUUUGAAUAUUAUUACUAAUACAAGCGUUGCACGGCUGUCUUCAGUUAAUGUCGUGAGAUUAGGUUAGUUCCAUUAAAUUAACGUAAACCCUUGCUUUAUUUAUAUUAUAAAGUAGAUCACCGCUAUAUUGGAUGUGAUAAUAGGGACUAAGACAAGUCAUCAUGGCCUAAAUAUUGUGGGCGAUAGACGUGCCACAUAAUCGGAGACAAAGGGAUGCG
rnacentral:rRNA from 1 species